rnacentral:misc_RNA from 1 species
CUGCAUCAAUCACGUAGGGAGAGCAGAUUUAGUGAUGCUUCGUCGAGGCUUUUGCCGCAGUAUCCCGCUCUUGGGACCUACCUUCACAGAGCUUGUGGAGCGGCUGGACUCCUUUGAGAAGGAGUUCAUCGAGUGGAAGGCGUUUCGCAAAGCGGUCGAGUCAACGUCGCCGAAGGUCACUGAAGCGGCGAAAGAGAUUAUCGCGGAGAGCAUGAAGGAGGUGAAGACGAGCAAGGUCAACUUAGAAAAUCCGCUGACGCCUGAAGAGUUCACGGAGUUGAACCAGUUUUACGCCAAGCAGAAGGUGAAGGAUAUAUUCUUCGAGAACUUGCUCUAUAUCAACACACCGAAUGAUUUGAUGCAGCAUUCGGAGACCGUUUUUCGACAGUACCUUGUGCGCAUUGCCCGCCGGGUACGCCACUUGAACCAUGCACCGUACGGCCUUUCACAAAUGCCGGGGAUCCAAAUGCUGAAGAAGUGGUACCAGUGGAGCUUUCACGACGUUCGCAGCACUCCAGUUCCAACGACCCGAGACGAAUGCUACCGGUGCGACCGCAUGGUGCGCCGCGUUUUCCUCCGCCACUACAACGUGAGCUCUCUCAUCACCGAUGGUAUGGUGGAGUUUGCCAGCCGCGAGGGAUGGACGCAUGUAGACGAAGAGGUGAUGCGCACAUAUGAUGAGCUGCAGAACUUUUUCGAAGCAUUUUGCCUGGGUCGCGUCCGACUUCGCUUUUUGGUAGGCAAUUAUAUGUACCUUUCAACCAAAAUCCUCGGUGUCUCGAAGGAGGAGUACGCCGUGAAUGAUCCUGACGGGCUCACAGUGCCAAUUUUUUUCGAUCAUAAUGCGGAAGACUUUGUUGGGCAGAUAUGCAAGAAAUGCUCUCUGCUGGUGCUCACAAAGUGCGCGAUCAAAGAAGCACAGGCGAGUUAUGAUGCGGAGAUCGAGCUAAAACUGGCGGGGGAUCCUAAUUUGGUCUUUGUUGGGAUACCGUAUAUCACCUACGACAUCAUUUGCGCGAUGCUCGAGGACGCCGUGUCUGCCAACGUAGAUCGCCAGGAGCGGACAGGCAAGGCGUGCACAAAAAUCGAAGUCACGCUUGCGCAGUGGCCGACAAACAAGCGCUUUGUUCUGCGUAUAUCGGAUACGGCGGGCGGGAUGACUUUACGCCAGGCUUCGAAGCAGCUGUCCUGCUGGUCUCUUUACAGAAACAUCCAGGGUCAUAAUCAGGAUACGAUUUCGACGUGGACCUCGAGUCCGAUUCGGCUACCUUAUGCGUAUAACGCCGCUCGCGUGAUUGGUGGGAACAUCACCCUGGCGUCCAUUGAAGGCUACGGGACGGAUCGGCAGCUUUAUCUGCCGUCCACAGGACUUGCUGGUGUGUCUCUGUGAUGCUGCGGAACACCGGAAUGAGGGGGGUGAGGCCACCACAGCCUAUGCGUUUGAGCGGUGCCGGUGCCUCAUUUCGUUUUUCGUCACGCUUUUACGCGGGCCGUUUUUCCAUGUGCGUUCUCUAUCUCUUAACCGACUGCUUCUGUUACCGUUUUGUUGUUUUUAUCGUAGUAGGCGCCGGCUAUUGUCGGUGGAGCCUGACUCUCUUUUUUUUUGUUGUGGAGGUGUGAUUUUUCGUUCGCUGAGGUGCAUGAAAGUGUCUGGAUUUCUCGCCUCUGUCGAAGGUGGCUUGCUACUCUCGUUAUAUACCAUCCUCUAGUGCGUGCAGUCACGUUGACAAGGAAGAACG